UAGGGAAUAUUGGACAAUGGGUGAGAGCCUGAUCCAGCCAUGCCGCGUGCAGGAAGAAGGCGUUAUGCGUUGUAAACUGCUUUUGCCAGGGGAUAAAAUGACCGUGCGCGGUUAAUUGAAGGUACCUGGUGAAUAAGCCACGGCUAACUACGUGCCAGCAGCCGCGGUAAUACGUAGGUGGCAAGCGUUGUCCGGAUUUAUUGGGUUUAAAGGGUGCGUAGGUGGCCCUGUAAGUCAGUGGUGAAAUAUCUCAGCUUAACUGAGAGGGUGCCAUUGAUACUGCAGGGCUUGAGUACAGAUGAGGUAGGCGGAAUUGACGGUGUAGCGGUGAAAUGCAUAGAUAUCGUCAAGAACACCGAUAGCGAAGGCAGCUUACCAAGCUGUAACUGACACUGAGGCACGAAAGUGUGGGGAUCAAACAGGAUUAGAUACCCCCGUAGUCCCUGAGCGGGCUGGCAAGGCGCAU
rnacentral:rRNA from 1 species